rnacentral:rRNA from 1 species
GACAGAGGGUGCAAACGUUGUUCGGAAUCACUGGGCGUAAAGCGCGUGUAGGCGGCAAUGUAAGUCGGAUGUGAAAUCCCGCGGCUCAACCGUGGAAGUGCACCCGAAACUACAUAGCUAGAGUGCCGGAGAGGAAGGUGGAAUGCUUGGUGUAGAGGUGAAAUUCGUAGAUAUCAAGCGGAACACCGGUGGCGAAGGCGGCCUUCUGGACGACGACUGACGCUGAGACGCGAAAGCGUGGGUAGCAAACAGG